rnacentral:rRNA from 1 species
UGGCAUGAGGCGAACCGGGGGAACUGAAACAUCUAAGUACCCCGAGGAAAAGAAAUCAACCGAGAUUCCCCCAGUAGCGGCGAGCGAACGGGGAGGAGCCCAGAACCUGAAUCGGCUUGUGUGUUAGUGGAAGCGUCUGGAAAGUCGCGCAGCAAAGGGUGAUAGCCCCGUACACUAAAAUGCACAGGUCGUGAGUUCGAUGAGUAGGGCGGGACACGUGACAUCCUGUCUGAAUAUGGGGGGACCAUCCUCCAAGGCUAAAUACUCCUGACUGACCGAUAGUGAACCAGUACCGUGAGGGAAAGGCGAAAAGAACCCCGGCGAGGGGAGUGAAAUAGAACCUGAAACCGUGUACGUACAAGCAGUGGGAGCACCUUCGUGGUGUGACUGCGUACCUUUUGUAUAAUGGGUCAGCGACUUAUAUUUUGUAGCAAGGUUAACCGUAUAGGGGAGCCGUAGGGAAACCGAGUCUUAACUGGGCGACUAGUUGCAAGGUAUAGACCCGAAACCCGGUGAUCUAGCCAUGGGCAGGUUGAAGGUUGGGUAACACUAACUGGAGGACCGAACCGACUAAUGUUGAAAAAUUAGCGGAUGACUUGUGGCUGGGGGUGAAAGGCCAAUCAAACCGGGAGAUAGCUGGUUCUCCCCGAAAGCUAUUUAGGUAGCGCCUCGUGAACUCAUCUUCGGGGGUAGAGCACUGUUUCGGCUAGGGGGCCAUCCCGGCUUACCAAACCGAUGCAAACUCCGAAUACCGAAGAAUGUUAUCACGGGAGACACACGGCGGGUGCUAACGUCCGUCGUGAAGAGGGAAACAACCCAGACCGCCAGCUAAGGUCCCAAAGUCAUGGUUAAGUGGGAAACGAUGUGGGAAGGCAUAGACAGCCAGGAUGUUGGCUUAGAAGCAGCCAUCAUUUAAAGAAAGCGUAAUAGCUCACUGGUCGAGUCGGCCUGCGCGGAAGAUGUAACGGGGCUAAACCAUGCACCGA